rnacentral:misc_RNA from 1 species
AAGUCGUAACAAGGUAACCGUAGGUGAACCUGCGGUUGGAUCAUUACCAAAUAUCCAAUGGGGGAGAGGGGUUGCUGAGUCUGGUAGUAAUUUAUUACCAGGCCUAGUGCGCCUUUUUCCCCAUUUCCACCUCUUGUGCAAUGUAAUGUAUUUGGCGGGCCAUGCUUGGUGGUUUGUGCUAGGCUUCGGCCUAGUGUAAUUGCUCAAGAUCGCUUAUGAAGGCGCACCUAUACGGGGCACCGGCAACCGUCAUGUUAACACACCUAAUAUUAUUUAUACCAACAAUCUGACGUUUAUAUGCUAGGGGACGCGUUUGCGCUCCCUGGAACAUAACCGAAAACAACUUUUGACAACGGAUCUCUUGGCUCUC